CACCACUCCAUCUCCAACGCCUCUGCUAGCCGCUACCGCGCCUCAGCCACCGCGACUCCGCCUCUGCAGCAAUCGACGCCGCCGCGCCUCCGCCGCCGCGCCUCCGCACCCGUGAACUCGCCCCGACAUCCCUGUUCACCGCGCUGACGUUGUUCGGAGCCGAAGACCAGCGACCCGAUGCUGCAAUCCAAGCUGCUCCGCCCACGAGCCAGAACUUGAACCCGCUGUAACGCCGGUUUUUCCCUUCGCCGGAGCACGACGCCCAAGUUCCGCCAUUGAAACCGACGCCACCGCGCCAUCACCGCUUCCUGCUCAGUCCCCGCACCUGCUCGGAGUCCAAUCGACAGCACCGGAGCGCCGAUCUCGCUCCCCAGACUCGGCAUUAACGCGCAGCAUCACAGCCGCCAACGCUCGCGCUCCCCGCCACUCCACCGUGCCACUGCUCCAACCAGUUCCGCACCCGGAAUCCUCUGCCUGCGACGCCCAUCACCGGCGGUCCGAGUUACCGUGCAUCAUUUCCCCCCAGCCG
rnacentral:lncRNA from 1 species